rnacentral:rRNA from 1 species
UACGUAGGGCGCAAGCGUUGUCCGGAAUUAUUGGGCGUAAAGAGCUCGUAGGCGGUCUGUCACGUCUGCCGUGAAAACCCGAGGCUUAACCUCGUGGCUUGCGGUGGAUACGGGCAGACUAGAGGUAGGUAGGGGAGAACGGAAUUCCCGGUGUAGCGGUGAAAUGCGCAGAUAUCAGGAAGAACACCAGUGGCGAAGGCGGCUCGCUGGAACGCAAAUGACGCUGAGACGCGAAAGCGUGGGGAGCAAACAGG